AAACUGUUUUUAAUUGCUAGAAAACGAUACACUGAAAAAUUCAGAAUUGGCAGAGGUGUACGACAGGGUGACACCAUAUCACCUAAGUUAUUCACAUCGAUUCUGGAGAGUGUUUUUAAGAAAUUAGACUGGAGUGAAAUGGGUAUCAACAUAAAUGGAGAGUACCUGAGUAAUCUCCGUUUCGCAGAUGACAUCUCCCUGAUGGCAGCUGAUCUAGAUCAGGCGCAAAUUAUGUUGCAACAGCUGAAUGAGGAGUCAAACAAAGUCGGCCUCAAGAUGAAUUUGUCGAAAACGAAAAUCAUGACAAACAUUGACGACGACAGAGACAUUAAAAUCGGUGAUACUGUCAUUGAACGAGUCGACAGUUAUGUGUACCUAGGUCACAAAUUGAAGUU